ensembl:lncRNA LINC00433 long intergenic non-protein coding RNA 433
AGAGGACCAUCAAAUACUCUGUGUUACAUGAUGCAGUUGUAAGGCAACUUGUACAGCAACCUGAGCCUCAACUCUUUUAUAUACCAUCCCAUUCCUUCAGUUUGCCUCAAUGGGUUGAACACCCCCACAUUUGUGACCUGUAUUAAUUUGCCCUGUCUGGCAUUCACUGGAAAAGUCAGGGUCUGCCUGGUUCCAACUGAGCUGGACCUGGGUACUGAAGUUGAUGAGCUGCGAACGUAACAGGAUUCAUCUGAUCUAAAAUUCCUUGCUUGUGUGGCUGCUGACUCUAUCAGUUGUACACAUGACUUCAUGCAUUAACUCUCGCCUCCGGCGGAUUCUGCUCCUGCCUCGGAGAUUUGAGGUGUUGUGCGUAAACCAAAGAUGCAUCACUUAAUUUGUAUUAUCUUCUCUAAUAGAACUAAUUAAUACAUUAUGUAAUGGCUUUGAAAUAAUCAUUAAAACUAUACAUUUAACAAGAUCGGAGUCAUAUGGUGCGCAUCUGCCAGCACAGAUUGCCACCUUUGGACAGAUGAAAAUACUGAGGCAGAGAAAAGUUAAGUAAGUUCCCCAAAGAGAAAUACACAGCUAAGAAGUGUUAGUUUAACCUGACCAUGUGGCAGAAAGCCAGAUAUGCAAAGAAAAACAUGGGGGAAUGGAUCAAGAAUGGUAAAUUGACAUAUUAUUAUAAAAGAAUUUAAAUGAAAAUUUAAGAUGUUUUGUGUCAAAUAAAUGAAUGAGAGUCAUCG